CCCUUAGAUGUUCUGGGCCGCACGCGCGCUACACUGAUGCAUUCAACGAGCCUAUCCUUGACCGACAGGUCCGGGUAAUCUUUGAAUCUGCAUCGUGACGGGGAUAGAUUAUUGCAAUUAUUAAUCUUCAACGAGGAAUGCCUAGUAGGCGCAAGUCAUCAGCUUGCGUCGAUUACGGCCCUGCCCUUUGUACACACCGCCCGUCGCUCCUACCGAUUGGGUGUGCUGGUGAAAUGUUCGGAUCGGCCGUUUGUCGCGGUUUCCGCGUCAUGUGGCUGAGAAGUUCAUUAAACCCUCCCACCUAGAGGAAGGAGAAGUCGUAACA
rnacentral:rRNA from 1 species